GACAGAGGAUGCAAGCGUUAUCCGGAAUGAUUGGGCGUAAAGCGUCUGUAGGUGGCUUUUAAGUCCGCCGUCAAAUCCAGGCUCAACCCUGGACAGGCGGUGGAAACUACCAAGCUGGAGUACGGUAGGGCAGAGGGAUUUCCGGUGGAGCGGUGAAAGUGCGUAGAGAUCGGAAAGAACACCAACGGCGAAAGCACUCUGCUGGGCCGACACUGACACUGAGAGACGAAAGCUAGGGAGCGAACGGG
rnacentral:rRNA from 1 species